AUUGAACGCUGGCGGAAUGCUUUACACGUGCAAGUCGAACGGCAGCACGGACUUCGGUCUGGUGGCGAGUGGCGAACGGGUGAGUAAUGUAUCGGAACGUGCCCAGUCGUGGGGGAUAACGUAGUGAAAAUUACGCUAAUACCGCAUACGAUCUAUGGAUGAAAGCGGGGGAUCGCAAGACCUCGCGCGAUUGGAGCGGCCGAUGUCAGAUUAGGUAGUUGGUGGGGUAAAGGCCCACCAAGCCAACGAUCUGUAGCUGGUCUGAGAGGACGACCAGCCACACUGGAACUGAGACACGGUCCAGACUCCUACGGGAGGCAGCAGUGGGGAAUUUUGGACAAUGGGCGAAAGCCUGAUCCAGCCAUUCCGCGUGCAGGAUGAAGGCCCUCGGGUUGUAAACUGCUUUUGUACAGAACGAAAAGGUUUCUACUAAUACUAGGAGCUCAUGACGGUACUGUAAGAAUAAGCACCGGCUAACUACGUGCCAGCAGCCGCAGUAA
rnacentral:rRNA from 1 species